rnacentral:lncRNA from 1 species
CAAUUGAAACGAUUAACAAAAUUGCAUAACUCUUACAUACAUCUUUGACAAAAGGAUAUGAACUCAUAGUCACUAGACAUACGCAUAAAAUUAACAAACCAUACAGAUGCUUGAUAAAACAAGUAACAAUGCAAAUCUUCAUAAUUGAGAAAAAAGUAAAAUCAUAAAAAAACUAAGAGUAUCUAACCAAACGGCAAAAUCAAAUGAUAAAACAAAUGUUUUUCAACUGCGAAAACUGAGAUUGCCAUUACAAGUGUUAUUAAAUAUUCAAUUUAAAGACCUUCAUACCUCCCAGUCUGAAUUUUCAAAGGAUGCAUGCUUACCAAGAGAUGGCUAUCCUGUCGUUUCAUCUAAUUUCGCCUCUUUAAAAUUCUAGCAAUUCCCCCAAUUUUUGUUUGUUUGUUACCUUGCUCUGUCUCUUUUUAAUCAACUAAUGAUAUUUGACCAUCGGUCAACUGCUGUCGCCUUAACACAUUUCCAAUCAAUGGCGUUGUCAGUUUAUAUUCGACUUACGAGUUUGAAUGUCCCUUUGGUAUUUUUCGACUAUAUUUCACUGACCACGGAAACAAUGCAUGAUUAAAACCAAUAGGUCAUUUGACCCUUCAGCACUAACAAUAUUACAAUUCUUCAUUGUAUUUACUUAGAAACUCAUGACGAAGUGAUUUAUCAUAUUCUUACUAAUCCCACGAACUGGUACAUGACUUACUAUCUAAUUGGUAUAAUGUUUUUUCUUUCGAAAA